rnacentral:tRNA from 1 species
UAGCUCAGCUGGAUAGAGUGUUUGACUACGAAUCAAAAGGUCGGAGGUUCGAAUCCUC